CAUUCGAGGUGGAGCCAGACGCAGAAACGAACCGAAGCGCUUUAAGAGGCGACGGACUGACCCGAUUCCCUGCCAUGAUCUGAUCUCAGUCCAGAUCUGAGCUCAGAAAGAGUCGUCGUGCUGAAGAAUCCGCCGGGUUUGUGUCGAGCUGAAGCGCAGAAGCGGCUCUGGAGUCCCGCAGAGCUCCUCAGGUGGAAGACAACAACAGCAUCAACAUGGGCCAGAACGGAGGACGGAAACGAUCACACCUCAUGCCUCUUCUGCUGGUGUCCAGCAUGUGUUUUGUGAGUGCCGAAUACUUGAGUUGUGGAGAAAAUGAAUUUUACAAUUACA